CCGCUCCACCUUUCUCUACAAACCCUAGAUCCUCCACCGCACGUCCACCUUUCAUCCAUGGAACCGGUCGUUGCCAUCACCGUCUUCUCCCCUUUCAUCCAUGGAACCGUUGAAGACGAAGACCGAUGAACAGGUGAAAGAGAGAACACUGCGGCUUGGUUCAAGAACCUUCAAAUUCAGCCUUAGUGCCAAAACCAAGGGAUAUGCCCAGUGAGGUUCUAGAAGAGGAGGGUUGGGCUCUUGUGUAUGACAAAUCUAGAUAAACUGAGCGGGCCUAAACUACUGAAUAUGUCGGAACCAUCGCAGCUUAUGACUGAAGACACACGGGCUGCUCUUUAUGUUGCACUCCCGGUUCUUAGUCGAGGAAAGAAAUGGGUCCUGCUGUACAGUACAUGGAGGCAUGGUAUAUCUUUGUCAACUUUGUAUAGAAGAAGUAAUCUUUCCCCCGGGCUAAGUCUGUUGGUUGUCGGAGAUCAUAAAGAGGCGGUGUUUGGUGGUUUAGUUGAGGCACCCUUGAAACCGUCAACUAAGAAAAGAUAUUAGGGAUCAAAUGAUACAUUUGUUUUCACAAAUACCCCUGGUUGUCCUGUUAUAUUUCGUCCAACAGAUACACACGCACAGAUUCGCAUGCUUCCUUGCUGACAUGAAGAGAAAGAAAAAACGGCCCACAACGGCUCAGGUGGUAGUACAACUUCAAAAGGCUUGAAAUUUCAAUGGUUUUUAAUCGGUGAUAAUGGAGAAAGAAAUGAUUUCCGGUGGCCGAUGAUAGCUUUACGCGCAACUUUCAGAGGUUAAUUAGGCACUUUUGUGAGCAUCAUGUUGGCUGGAGACAGUUAAUUUCAACAGCUGCAGGAAGAUACGACAGUUAAAAAAGAGCCUGCUGAGUGAAGUGUUAAGGGAAGAGCUUAUUGGAAAAGAGUUAAAAAGGUAUGGUUGGCUGUUUGACCAAACACGUCGACUUUGACCAAAUCCGGGAAAACCUUGAAGACCCAGCAAGUCUAUUUUGCUUUUAGCAAUUAUAUGUUGCACACCCAGCAAGUGUAUUUUGCUUUUAGCAGUUAUAUGUUGCAUUUUGAUAUACAUAAAGAUUGUAUUGAUGUAUUGCUCAUUUGGGUUGACUAUAAGCACAAAAGAGUUUGGACGGUUUGUGGUUUAAGAAUCUUAGGGUGGAAGGGGUACUCCCCAUAUCCUUUUUUGAGGAUUCUCAGUACCGGUAUUUUUGGUACCGAUUGGUACCAAGCUCAUCCCUACGAGAAAUUCUAACAUGUGUGUAGGACAACAUUUUACUUUAAUAGUUGCGCGGCAUAUACAUAAGACCCCGAAGGCCAAAACAAUCAUUAAUUGUGCAUAGAUUUUGCCAUUGUCAUUUUGAUACUAGAUAACAAAAUAAAUUUGUAUAAAAAUUAUUUAUCUCAAAGUAAAACG
rnacentral:lncRNA from 1 species